rnacentral:lncRNA from 1 species
GAGGCAAGUGGAUUUCUGAGUUCCAGGCCAGCCUGGUCUACAGAGUGAGUUCCAGGACAGCCAGGGCUACACAGAGAAACCCUGUGUCUACAAACCUGUUCUCUGUGUAGCCUGGCUGUCCUGGAACUCACUCUGUAGACCGGACUAGCCUCGAACUCAGAAAUCUGCCUGCCUCUACCUCCCAAGUGCUAGGAUUAAAGGCAUGCGCCACCACUGCCCAGA